GAUGAACGCUGACAGAAUGCUUAACACAUGCAAGUCAACUUGAAUUUGGGUUUUUAACUUAGGUUUGGGUGGCGGACGGGUGAGUAACGCGUAAAGAACUUGCCUCACAGCUAGGGACAACAUUUGGAAACGAAUGCUAAUACCUAAUAUUAUGAUAAUAGGGCAUCCUAUAAUUAUGAAAGCUAUAAGCGCUGUGAGAGAGCUUUGCGUCCCAUUAGCUAGUUGGAGAGGUAACGGCUCACCAAGGCGAUGAUGGGUAGCCGGCCUGAGAGGGUGAUCGGCCACAAGGGGACUGAGACACGGCCCUUACUCCUACGGGAGGCAGCAGUGGGGAAUAUUGGACAAUGGACCAAGAGUCUGAUCCAGCAAUUCUGUGUGCACGAUGAAGUUUUUCGGAAUGUAAAGUGCUUUCAGUUGGGAAGAAAGAAAUGACGGUACCAACAGAAGAAGUGACGGCUAAAUACGUGCCAGCAGCCGCGGUAAUACGUAUGUCACGAGCGUUAUCCGGAUUUAUUGGGCGUAAAGCGCGUCUAGGUGGUUAUGUAAGUCUGAUGUGAAAAUGCAGGGCUCAACUCUGUAUUGCGUUGGAAACUGUAUAACUAGAGUACUGGAGAGGUAAGCGGAACUACAAGUGUAGAGGUGAAAUUCGUAGAUAUUUGUAGGAAUGCCGAUGGGGAAGCCAGCUUACUGGACAGAUACUGACGCUGAAGCGCGAAAGCGUGGGUAGCAAACAGG
rnacentral:rRNA from 1 species